UUUUGCAUUCUCUUUGCUUUUCUUUGUUUAGCAAGGUCUUUAAAAAAAAAAAACAAUCCUUUCCUUCUGUCUUAGAAUUAAUACUGUUGUAAGGGAUUUUAGCAGGAGCAAAUUGAAAACAGGAAGUACAGAGGCAGAGAGGGAAAAUUCCGGAACUAUGAGGAGACUGUCUCUCUGGAGGACAGUUGGUAGAGUUGCUCUCUGAAGGAGAUUUUGAAGCUGCCAGGAGGCUGGGACUUGACUUCAAGCAAAAUCAUCUUGUGGGAGGUGCUAGAGAGAGUGGUAACACUUCACCCAGGUGGACUGUGUGGGUGAAGCCAUUUCUUCCCUUCCUGAUCCUAUGAGCUGCUCCUGGUUUCUGCUGGGACUUCUGACAGACCCAAGAGGACAUCAUUUGUGCUGGCAGGCAAUUAGAUCUGGGUUGUAUAUGUAUUAUCAUUCAAAACAUUUCCAUAUUGUUCUUUUUUGUAAGUGAGUAAUCUUAUAAAACCAAGAGUUUUAAUUUUUUUUAAAUCUUUUGUUAUAUGGGAUUGCUUUCUGGGAAAGGGAGGAGGGAUGCUGGGAAAAAUUCUGAUACUAAAACAGAAAAUAUCAACAAAAUUUAUUUUUUAAAAAAAGGAAGAAAAUGAGCACUUCAGAAUUUCAGAGCAGAGGCAUGACCCCUGAGGAGAGAUAUGAGAAGCUACCUCAUCCUGUUCCUUUGCAUAGGGAAGAAAUUACCCAACUUAUACCUCUAAGACUUGACUCCUUUCCAACCAAAUGCCAGUUUCACAAUCAACUCAUAGAAAAUAACAAUAAUUUAUACAAUAUUAUAGCAACCAGAAAUCAGAGAACAAAGAGGAGAACGUAUAUAUCAGACAAAAUCCAGAGGGAAGGAACUCUUCCAUUGCAAGAUAACUCACCUCAAUCAAGAGAGAGUCGUACAUUUCAGCCAAAGGGAAAUUUCCCCAAAGCCUCUAGUGAAGAAAGUUGAGAACAGAAACACAAUCAAAGCAUUAACUCCUCUACAUACCAGCUCUCCAGUCUUUCUUUCCCUUCAGAGCCCUGAAGAGAGUCUGAACCUGAGUGUCUUCUCUCUGGAAUCUAGAAACCAGAAGACAAGGAUCUAUCUUCUCCCAAGUGAUUACCAACUCUGCCCCUCACACAAGUGGAGAACACUAAAUAAUCAAUCUUCACCAGUGAGAAGAAUCUUAUGGAAAUUAGGUUUGAGACUUGAAUUUCAACUCUGUGUUAUUUACUUGUCUUCUAUUGGGAUGUAAGUUACUUAUAAGUAAGAAUUGUUGGUAUUCUUUGUGUCCCUGUUCCCUAAUAUAAUUCCUGACAAGUAAUAAAUACUUAAUGAAUGAUUGUUGAUUGAAUAUCAUUCCUAAGGGAUUCUCAUCUCUCUUUGGUUCUCUUCUCUUACAAAAUAUCAGGGCAUUGGUCCCUGAACCUAUCCCUUAUCUAAACUCUUUGAAAUAUAUUCUUCUUAAAUCAAGGGUGUACAUGAGACCUUGCCUGGCUUUCAAAUAGGCAAAAAAUCCAAAACAACAACAACAACAACAACAACAACAACAACAACAACAAACGAUUUUCCCUUGUUGCUUCCUCCACCUUUGUGAAUAGGAAUAUUAAUAUUUUUCAGCUUUUGAAGGGGGGUGGUGGCUCCAGUAAGUGUCUGCAUAAUUUUAGUCCUUCCUUACUAGUAAAUCAUGUCUUCAUGACAUCCUUAUUAGCUGUGUCAACAUGGAAUUUAGGAAUCCCAAACUUGUGGCCUAGUGGGAUCUGAUGAACCCCAAUUUUAGAUUUAGCUUGUAGAUUGGAAACCCCAAAACUUGUCCUUGUUCCCUGUUCCCAUGAGAAAUCUACCCUGAAGGGAAAUGAUGACCCUGGGUGAGAUAAGCAUAUGCUAAGGACCCUCUUUGUUUUAGGUAGCAUCCCCUAUUGUAUUAGAACCUUUCUCAGGAAGGUCAGACCUGGGCAUGAACCAUCCUUUAGUAACUUUGUAAGCAGCCCCCUUCUCUUGCAUCCUAGCAUCUAGCUAUGAUUGUAUCCUGUCAGUGUAGUUUGAACACUCCCAUUUUCCUUGUAGCCAUAGUGAUGUCAAUCAUCUUUUCCUGCCCCUGGAUUUCCAAAUGGUAUAUAGG